GCCGGGUGUGGUGGCUCACACUUGUAAUCCCAGCACUUUGGGAGGCCGAGGUGGGUGGAUCACCUGAGGUCAGGAGUUCAAGAUCAGCCUGACCAACAUGGUGAAACCCCGCCUCUA
ensembl:misc_RNA Metazoa_SRP Metazoan signal recognition particle RNA